rnacentral:lncRNA from 1 species
AUGCCCUAAUUUCGAAUGUUUUAAAAUCCGGUUAACCUCUUUACACAUGCACAAGUACACCACCGUAAUUUCUAACCUCGUUAAGAUUUUGUCUUUGCACAUACUCUAAAAGCAGCUCAGUACUCCAUAAUUUUUUUUUUAAUUUUUUUUUUCAUUUCAAUAUAUGACGAAACUAAUGGCUGACUAUAUGGAAUUUCUCGAAGCUUUUUGGAAGGAUUUAACUGAGAUAGACCCUAACUAUUUCAAUAUGGGUCGUACCUUCCGAUUUUGGAUGGUGAGAUACUGGGUUUAGACGAUUUCGUGAUUCCCGAUGUCGAGGGUUUAAAUGAUUUUGUGGUUAAUGUGAAUGAGGACGAAGAGGAUGAAGAGGAGCUUGCGGAUGCAGGGAGUGUGUUUAAUAGGCCAUCAUGGCAUUUUGAUGAUUUAGUGCGCCUUCCCAGUGGCUCUCCGGAGCAGUAUUUCUUUCUUGCUAUGGUAUGAAUUUUUGUAUUCGGUGCCACUUUUCAUUUUCAAGCUGUGAUUGCCACUAUUAGCUUGGUUCUUUGUUUUCCAUGAUUGUUUUGGUGAAUUCUUUCUCAUGUGAUUGUAUUAUAAUGGUUGCUUAUGGCAUUUGCUUGCUUAAUUAAUUGCCAGAUUAAUCUGUAGUGUGUGCGUUUCAUAUUCUUGAUUUUGGUGAUCAUAUUUUGUAAUUGAUGAUCACAUUGCUUUUCCAUGUAAAAGUUGGGUGCUUUUCAUAUUUUCUUGCUGUUUUUCUCAUGUGUUUUUUCUAUCUUUCAAGUUACGUAAUGUUUUAUGCUGUCUUGAUCAAUUUUGUACUGUAGGUUAGAGCUAAUAGUAAUAUUUUACAGGUAUAUUUGACGAUUGGUUUAAGCUUGUCCAUCAUCGUUCUUGGGGGUUUAUUCAAGUUCCGUGUUGGCUUGUUAUCCUUUAUUGUUUUUUCUGGCCUUUGCACUCCAUCUAGAUUGGGCCCAACUACCAGAGUAGAAGAUUUUACUCUUUGUGAUGAUUACUGGGAGUUUUUCUUAUUCUGUUGGGAUGGUUUGUCGGUUUGCUGUUAAGUCUAUUUCCACCUUUAAUCCUCUGUAAGAAGUUUGUAAGGUUGUGUCAUUUAUUAACAUAAUCUUGUUUUGUGGACGCUAAUUGAUGUUGGAUAAUUUUGAUUGGUUCGAAACAGAUUAUGGUUUAUCGUGUCUUCUGGGUGGGCUUUCUGUUUAUUGGUGUUUGCUGUCGGAGCGAUGUUUUUAGGCAGAGGUGCUAUGCCAUUUGGUGUACCCUGUUUAUCUUGGUUGUGUCGGGUGUCUUUCUACUUAUCAGCUGUACUAUUGUGUUACCUUUGUCGUAUAUGUGGAAGGUACUUUUAUUUUACAUACAUUCUUGUAUCUUUACUAUUGACUGGUUAUUUUCAUUGCUUUUAACAUUUCUUUUUAUUUUAAUUUUAGGUUUUUGUGUCGCAAGUUUUGAUUUGUUUGUAUGUUAUCUUGUUCACUCAAGAUAUGUUGUAUGACUAUGAAGUCAAUUUAGCGCAUGGGCUUGACGAUGGUUGUCGCCAUGUAUUCACAUUUUAUAGUGGGAUUUUCACUUUUUUGCGUCGCAUGGUGAGUUUUUACUGCUUAUUGUAUGAAUAUACUCAAGUGUUUACACAGUCUUUAAUGGUUAAUAUUGUCUUCAUUAGCUGGAUUUAUGUUUUGGCGUUGGAGUUCCUUCUGGUGGAGGUGGUGCUGUCGGUUGAGGUCCUACUUGAUGUAGUGAGUUACACGUCAAGUUAAGUUUUUGAAUGAUCUCUUUAUGGUACUUGUUAAUAGUACCUACAUUCUUGUUACAAAAUGUUCCUCAGUGGAACUUCUACCUCUGAUUGAGUUUUUUGCAGUGAAAUACUGCUGCUAUGACUUAAAAUCACCCAUUGCUUGAUAAAUGCACUUUUAGAACUGCAUACAAGUUCAGUUUUUGAAUGAAAUCAGUAUGUUGUUGAGUUUAGGUGUUUGCUGUUGGAAUUAAUUUAAGUCUUAAUUGUAUCAAUUCUGUGCAUGCCUUGUCAACAUAAUCAAUGAAUCCUAGAUUUCCAACAGACGACUUAAUCAUAGAAAUGCAUUCCAAGGUUUUGGCAAGGAGCAUGUGGCCCGUAUUUUUAUUAGCGGUUACCAAGAAACACGACGAACUUAUUCACUAUUUUGUGCUGGGAAUGUGAAGUUGAUUUUGGAGAUGGUAGCUGAAAGUUUUUUUUAAAGACGCGGUACUAGUAUUUGAUUGAAAGAGAAGAGGAGAAUGCCAUAUUGAAAUAGUGCAAACAAUAUGUUGAAAUAGUAUGUUUAGUAGUUUGCUUUCUUUCUAUGUAUAUGAACUUCUCCCUUGAGGAAGGCCUCACUAUUGAUGUUGUAAAGAUAUUUUAUAUUUAGCUAUGUUAAUUAUAUAUAGAGAGAGAUAUUUUGCUUA